rnacentral:tRNA from 1 species
GCCUUGCUAGCUCAAUUGGUUAGAGCGUGAGACUCUUAAUCUCAAGGCUGGGGGUUCGAGUCCCCCGUAGGGCU